rnacentral:rRNA from 1 species
CGGAGGGUGCGAGCGUUGUUCGGAAUUAUUGGGCGUAAAGCGCACGUAGGCGGCCUGGUAAGUCUCACUGUGAAAGCCCGGGGCUCAACCCCGGGAGGCCAGGGGGAUACUGCAAGGCUGGAGACAGGUAGAGGCUGGUAGAAUUCCGGGUGUAGCGGUGGAAUGCGUAGAGAUCCGGAGGAAUACCUGAGGCGAAGGCGGCCAGCUGGGCCUGAUCUGACGCUGAGGUGCGAAAGCGUGGGGAGCGAACAGGAUUAGAUACCCUGGUAGUCCACGCCGUAAACGAUGGGCACUAGAUGCCGGUGGGAACGACCCCUUCGGUGUCGCAGCUAACGCAAUAAGUGCCCCGCCUGGGGAGUACGGCCGCAAGGCUG